rnacentral:rRNA from 1 species
CGCGUAGGCGGAUAGUUAAGUCCGGUGUGAAAGAUCAGGGCUCAACCUGGGAACUGCGUUUUGAACUGGGUAACUAGAGUGUGUCAGAGGGGGGUAGAAUUCCACGUGUAGCAGUGAAAUGCGUAGAGAUGUGGAGGAAUACCGAUGGCGAAGGCAGCCCCCUGGGAUAACACUGACGUUCAUGCUCGAAAGCGUGGGUAGCAAACA